rnacentral:ncRNA from 1 species
UAAGCUGUUUGGUUCUGGCUGAUAAUUAGCUUUUUCCUUCACGACACAUUGAUAGGAGAUUCCGCAUAGUGAGUAAUCGCGCUACUACUGGCCUUAAUGGCGUAAAUGAGUGACAGGCUUUAGGAGAUCCUAUAAUGCCCAGGGUAACCCACAACUUCAGUGCUGAAAAUUGGUUAAUAUUCGAAAGACUGACCCAGGGAGUGAAGAAAUGAGUAGGUGAAUAAAGUGCCAGCAUCCGCGGUUACACUUUUUACUCAACUAAUUUUUACGGAGGUGAAAAAAGGUAUAAGAGAUAAUAGCGAAAGGUGGCGUAAGGAAGGACUUGUAUAAAUGAGAUAACCCUCUCCACCCACCCCUUUCGGACCCUCGAUACACAGAAGUUUAGGGGAGGGACCGGGAUUUGGUACCCCGUUACUCCUAGAUGUAGACUAUGUCCAGGGGACUACGAACAGAUGUUUAAAACCCAAAGAACUUGGCGGUGAUACAUAUCAGUCCAGGGGAGCAUGACUGUUAAUUCGAUGAUCCACGAAUAUCUUACCCCUCCUGGUUAAUCAGCUUGUAUACCGUCGUUGUCAGUCUGCCUUGUGAAAGAACCGAAGGGGGCCCAAUCUACACCACUAGAUGACUUCAGAUAAACGUGCAGCCCAUGGAGGGGGCUUGGUUUUGCUACAAUUCUCUUAGAAAACGGAUUUCUCUUCUAACAGGAGGAUGAAGGUGGACUUGGCAGUAAACACAGAAACUUUGAAUGCAGUGCUUGUAUCGCGUACAAAUCGCCCGUCGCUCGCGUAUAUACAAAAUGGGAUAAGUCGUAACAAAGUAGGGGUACCGGAAGGUGCCCCUAAA